UUCCGAGUACCGAUGUUGCCCAAGGUCA
rnacentral:sRNA from 1 species